AAUGGAUAGGCUUAAUAGGUUCUAAUUGUUAUUUGAAAUUAUUCUGUAAUUUCAGAAGGCUCGACGGAUGCCCAACAUUCGAGAAUGACAGGAUUUGUUCAUGUCAUUUUGAAUGUGGCUCAAAGGAUGGUGAUCCAAUAUUUUCCCCCCACAACAAAGGAAAACUGUUUCAGUUCAAGGAUCCCAAACCCUAGAGAAAAAGGAGUGUGCCUUUGGAGUGCAGUGAUGUACCGGCAAUCCCACUGGCUCAGAGUCCAGAUGUCCCAACUGAACCUGAACACAAUGGAAGAACGGAUGUAGUGAUAGAACAUGGGGAAGCUGACUUCGUUAACGGCUGAAGUCCAAGACUUGAAGGCCACAAUCAAGUCUCUGGAGCAGGAAAUCCACUUUUUCUAUCCUUUUCCACCUUUUCUAUCAACGAUAUAAGUGACAGCGAAGAAA